rnacentral:rRNA from 1 species
UACAGAGGCCCCAAGCGUUACUGAGAAUCACUGGGUUUAAAGGGUGCGUAGGUGGCGCGUUAAGUCCGUUGUGAAAUCCCUUGGCUCAACCAAGGAAUGGCUUCGGAUACUGGCGUGCUUGAGGUUGGUAUGGGUCACUGGAACUGACGGUGGAGCGGUGAAAUGCGUAGAUAUCAGGAGGAACACCGGUGGCGAAGGCGGGUCUCUGGGCCGAUACUGACGCUGAGGAGCGAAAGCGUGGGGAGCGAACAGG